rnacentral:sRNA from 1 species
GGCGAAAGAAGGGCAUCCUCUGAUGGGAGUGGACCGGAGUCCGCUAAAGCGAAACAUUCCAGGGUCAAGGAUGCAUUCCAGGAAAGUUCCAUAAAAAUAUACCAUCAACUCCAACCUGAUAUUUGACCUAGCUGUGGAAAACCUCAUUGGCUCCUCACUAGAUCAGACCAUAAAAAUGAUUCAGGAAUGAAAAUCUAAGAUAAAUUCCCACCACUUCAAGAUGUUCUUAUACAAGUCAACAGUCUAGCAGAUCAGCCAGUCUCUUUCAUCAUCAAGCAGACAUACUCAAGAAAGAGGAAUAGUGAAGUGAAAUAUACAGAAGCAUGUUCAAGUUCAUCUGUUGAAUGUGGAAUUGUGAAUAGUGACAAUAUUGAGAAAAAUACUGACUCCAAUCUGCAAACUUCAACUUCAUUUGAGCCACAUUUCAAAAA